GGGUUCAUAUGUAUGACACGAUUUUCGGGUUCGGGUUUAACAGGUCGUAUUCGGGGCCUCAGGCCAACCCACAAACACAACACGUUUAGCACCCAUAUCGUAUAUGAUAGAUAGUUUUCAACCGGUCUUUACUCUUUCAUCAAAAAACAUCCCAAGUGAUACUAACAACAAUUGAUACUAACCGACUUACUUAACCACCUUACUGAAAUAAAGAGACGUUAUAUUACAAGAAACUGAAAGCCAUACCAGUCAUAACAUAUUCAGGAGCAGCAUAACCGUAAGUACCCAUAACCCGCGUUGAUACAUGGGUCUCGUCCCCUUGUGGGCCAGCUUUUGCAAGACCGAAAUCAGAUAACUUAGUUGUAUAAUCCUGCAGGUCCACAUUACUUAUUAACCAUCAACCGACUACAAAAAACUUAUAAAACACAAAAAAGAUAACAACAAUACUGAGAAAAAUUCUCAAAUCCACUUACGGAGUCCAACAAAAUGUUGGAAGCGAGGCCUUUUGCUGCCCCAAGAGCAAUCAUCAUUCUUGUUGACCAUGAUAAUGGUGCACUUGUUUCUAAAUACCUCAAAAAAGCACACAAAUUAAGUUAAGA
rnacentral:lncRNA from 1 species